UACGGGGGGGGGCAAGCGUUGUUCGGAAUUACUGGGCGUAAAGGGCGCGUAGGCGGCCUGCUAAGUUGGAUGUGAAAACUCUGGGCUCAACCCAGAGCCUGCAUUCAAUACUGACGGGCUAGAGUACUGGAGGGGAAAGCGGAAUUCCUGGUGUAGCGGUGAAAUGCGUAGAUAUCAGGAGGAACACCGGUGGCGAAGGCGGCUUUCUGGACAGUAACUGACGCUGAGGUGCGAAAGCGUGGGGAGCAAACAGG
rnacentral:rRNA from 1 species